GGGGAAUAUUGGACAAUGGGCGAAAGCCUGAUCCAGCAAUGCCGCGUGAGUGAUGAAGGCCUUAGGGUUGUAAAGCUCUUUUACCCGGGAUGAUAAUGACAGUACCGGGAGAAUAAGCCCCGGCUAACUCCGUGCCAGCAGCCGCGGUAAUACGGAGGGGGCUAGCGUUGUUCGGAAUUACUGGGCGUAAAGCGCGCGUAGGCGGCUAUUCAAGUCAGAGGUGAAAGCCCGGAGCUCAACUCCGGAAUUGCCUUUGAAACUAGAUAGCUAGAAUCAUGGAGAGGCGAGUGGAAUUCCGAGUGUAGAGGUGAAAUUCGUAGAUAUUCGGAAGAACACCAGUGGCGAAGGCGACUCGCUGGACAUGUAUUGACGCUGAGGUGCGAAAGCGUGGGGAGCAAAC
rnacentral:rRNA from 1 species